GUGGGGAAUUUUGGACAAUGGGCGCAAGCCUGAUCCAGCCAUUCCGCGUGAGUGAAGAAGGCCUUCGGGUUGUAAAGCUCUUUCGCAAGGGAAGAAAACUUACCCUCUAACAUAGGGUGAGGUUGACGGUACCUUGAUAAGAAGCACCGGCUAACUACGUGCCAGCAGCCGCGGUAAUACGUAGGGUGCGAGCGUUAAUCGGAAUUACUGGGCGUAAAGGGCGCGUAGGCGGUUUGUCAAGUCCCGUGUGAAAGCCCUCGGCUCAACCGAGGAACGGCGCGGGAAACUAGCAGGCUUGAGUUCGGGAGAGGGAAGCGGAAUUCCGGGUGUAGCGGUGAAAUGCGCAGAUAUCCGGAGGAACACCGGUGGCGAAGGCGGCUUCCUGGACCGACACUGACGCUGAGGCGCGAAAGCUAGGGGAGCAAACGGGAUUAGAAACCCGAGUAGUCC
rnacentral:rRNA from 1 species